rnacentral:rRNA from 1 species
AUUGAACGCUGGCGGCAGGCCUAACACAUGCAAGUCGGGCGGAUGAAGGGAUCUUGCUCCUGGAUUCAGCGUCGGACGGGUGAGUAAUUCCUAUGAAUCUGCCUGGUUUUGGUGUAUAACGUCCUGAAACGGGCGCUAAUACCGCAUACGUCCUGUUGUUGAAAUUGUGUGUUCUUCGGACCUCUCGCUCUCUUAUUAGCCUAGGUCGGAUUAGCUAGUUGGUGUGGUAAAGUCCUACCAAGGCGACGAUCCGUAACUGGUCUGAGAGGAUGAUCAGUGACACUGGAAGUGAGACACGGUCCAGAGGACUACGGGAGGCAGCAGUGGGGAAUAUUGGACAAUGGGCGAAAGGAUGAUAGAGAAAAGGCGCGUGUGUGAAGAAGGUCUUAGGAUUGUAAAGAACGUUAAGUUGGGAGGAAGGGAAGUAAGUUAAUACGUUGAUGUUGUGACGGUAACAACAGAAUAAGGACCGGCUAACUACGUG